rnacentral:rRNA from 1 species
AACUGCUCUUAAACUGCCCUGCAUCCCACUGCUGGCUUGCUUCUGAAGCUAAGCAGGGUUGGUCCUGGAUGGGAGACCAGAUGCUGCUGGAAGUGGUGUUG